GUCCCGCCCACCCCCAACGGUGGUCCCCGCGGCCCAGUAUUGCUCGUUAGGCAACGCGUGUACGUCUUUGCCGAGGACUGGUCCGCGGUUUCCCUGCUACAGUUCUUUCUCGAGGUAUUGUUCCCUUCCUUUGGUUUUGUGGUCUCUGCGGCCGGGGUGCGGAAACUGCUGAAAGGAACUGGAUCUCACCUCUGCGGGUGCAGCCUGGAGGCGGCGGGGAGCUGAAGCAGAACGACCUGAAGAGAGUUCCUGGAUGUGGAGUUUGUUUUUUUAGAACCAUCCUUGUGCUGUGAAGUGUUUGAUGAAAAAAUGUUUGGAAGAUUGACUUUUCCACAACUGCUUUUUGCUAGCCUCCUUGGAAUUGCUGGAGGAAUAUAUAUUUAUCAACCAAUAUUUGAACAGUAUUCCAGAGAUCAGAAGGAGUUAAAAGAAAAAAUGAAAUUGGUAGAAGACUCAGAAGAGAAGAAAAGUUGAUACUACAUGGAGUUGAACUGUAAUUGCGUAAAAUUCCAUUGAAAUUAUACAUUGAGUAUAAAUAAUCUAGUAAAAAGUUAUUCACUAUAAAUCUAGUAGAAAGUUAUCAAUUAUACUUUAAAUAAUAUGGUGACCUUUUAUGCUGUUGGAAUAGAACCCUGUAUGCUAUCAAUUCAAGACACCCUGGGUAUGCUCCAGCCUGACUUCCCAUUUUAGCAGUUAUGACUUGCCAUCAGACCUUUGCUACUUGGAAAUUCUUUUGUUUCUAACUUGGGAGUCCUGUUGCAGCGUCUUCUGUCAGUCUCAUCUCAUAAAGGACAUCCAUGUCAGUGGCCUCCUCACCAGUGCCUCAGUGAAAGGAGCCCCAUCAGGGCCUUGCAGGUAACAGCAGCUGGUGGUUCUGCAGUCUCAUCACAAAUCCGUUAUUCUGACUCCAAGGUCAGCAGGGCAAGAUAAGGAGAAAAGAAAGUUAAAGAGGGAAAGCCAAGACAAUGAUAGAUUUUCAAGGGGGCCACUUGACUUGAUCCUAUGGGAUUUUCUGAAGAGAAUUUAAAAAUUUUUUUAGCUAUUGAAGUAACUUCAGACUUAAAAAGUACAAAAAUAAUAUAAAAAAAUUUCAUAUACUUGUUAUCCAGGUUCCACAGAUGUUAACAUUUAUCCACAUUUGCUUUAAUUUCUCUGUAUAUAUGUGCUUACGUAUUAUGCACACACAAACUUAUUAUUUUUCUAAACCCUUUGAAAACAGAGUAAGUUGCCCAUGUGAUUCCCGUAACCUCUAAAUAUUUUAGUGUGCAAUUCCUAAAAACAGGGAUGUUCUCAUUUAUUAUUAUAGUGUAAUAAUCAAGAUCAGGAAGUUAAGAUUGAUAGGAUAUUAUCUAAUCUCAGAUUUCAUUCCGAUUCUACUAAGUCCUAUUAAUGUCCUUUAGAACAAGACAAAAAUAUUUUUCUGAACUGGGAUCUCAUUUAGGGUCACAUUUGAAUUUAGUUCAUGGUCCUUUGGUUUUAUUUAUUCUUGUUUCUUGAAAGUGAAAGUGAAGUCGCUCAGUCAUGUCUGACUCUUUGCAACCCCGUGGACUGUAGCCUGCCAGGCUUGUUAGUCAUUGCCUUUUAUGACCUAGAAAUUUUCAAAGAAUGUUGGUUUGUUUUGUAAAAUAUACCUUAAUUUGAA